GACGUAGGGCGCGAGCGUUGUCCGGAUUUAUUGGGCGUAAAGAGCUCGUAGGCGGCUUGUUGCGUCAGCUGUGAAAACCCGCAGCUCAACUGUGGGCUUGCAGCUGAUACGGGCAGGCUUGAGUUCGGUAGGGGAGACUGGAAUUCCUGGUGUAGCGGUGGAAUGCGUAGAGAUCGGGAAGAACAUCGGUGGCGAAGGCGGUCUGCUGGGCCGAUACUGACGCUGAGGAGCGAAAGCGUGGGGAGCGAACAGG
rnacentral:rRNA from 1 species